rnacentral:lncRNA from 1 species
UGAAAGCACAUUUGCUCCUCGGGUGGUUUUGGUAAUUAAUGACAACAUACUUUGUGGUUGGACUAAUGCUUUUAUCAAGUAUGUUUCAGGAAAUUCAAUCACAUUGGCAUGGCAAAAGGACUAAAGAGGUGGACCCCUCAAAAUGCUAAGGCAAGCAUUGGCAAAAGCUCAAGACUCCAUUUUUGGUUUAGUGAUCCUAGAUCACAUUGAGUCCAUAGGAAAAGCCAAUACUAUUAAAAGGGGAUGAGGUUAUGAUGAUGAUCUGGUUGCUCAAGUGCUUAGUGAUACAUCUCCUAAACUAUCAGCAACUUUCACUGCCAUAUACACUAAUAAGUAGUCUCGGUCCCACCGAUAUUCCAAACUCAGUCACACCGAGAUGAACCACCUCAGCCAUAAGCCAAACCCUAGAAAACUCGGAUUUUCCGAUUCUGAACUCGGUCUCACCGAAACAUGAGUUGCCAAGCUUCUGUAACCUUCUGUCAUCAAAUCGGUGUCACCGAGAUGAUGAAGUCGGUCCCACCGAAACUGGCAUGCUCUUGUCAUUGCAUGAAUCGGACUAACCGAGAUUGUAUUUUCGGUCCCACCGAAAAUCCCAACGUUCACAUUAUUUGAACUAUCGGUCUCACCGAGUUGUCCACUUCGGUCCCACCGAGAUUGCUCAAAUGUGUGUAACGGUUGGAUUUUGUGUGGAGGCUAUUUAUACCCCUCCACCCCCUCUUCAUUCGUGGAGAGAGCCAUCAGAAAGAACUACCACUCCUACCUUACAUUUCUGAGAAGAGAACUACCUACCCUUGUGUUGAGAUCAAGUUGCUCCACUCCCACCAUAUGAAGCUUGAUCUCUAGCCUUCCCAAGUUGCUUUCCACUCAAUCCUUUCUUCCACCAUAGCCAAAUCAGUGAGGAGAGUUGAGUGUUGGGGAGAUUAUCAUUUGAAGCACAAGAGCAAGGAGUUCAUCAUCAUCUACAACAUCUAUUACCUUUUGGAGGGUGGUGCCUCCUAGAUUGGUUAGGUGUCGCUUGGGAGCCUCCGUCAUCGAGAUGUGGAGUUGAACCAAGAAGUUUGUAAGGGCAAGGAGAUCGCCUACUUCGUGAAGAUCUACCCCGAGUAAGGCUAGCCCUCCGUGGGCGUAGGCCAUGAUGGGAUAGACAAGGUUGCUUCUUCGUGGACCCUUCGUGGGUGGAGCCCUCCGUGGACUCGCGUAGCCGUUACCCUCCGUGGGUUGAAGUCUCCAUCAACGUGGAAGUACGAUAGCACCACCUAUCGGAACCACGAGAAAAAUCACCGCGUCUCCAAAUUGCGUUUGAUCUUCUCCACUUCUCUUUACUACUUGUGCAAUUUACUUUCCGCUGCCCAUACUCUAGAAUUGCAUGUGUAGUGUGCUACUUGACUUGUAUGUUAUGCAAAAUCUGCCAAAAUCUGUCCUUGAUAAAAGACAGAAUUUUUAUCUUGUCGAGUAGUCUAAUCACCCCCCCUCUAGACACUCUCACCUUCUUCGAUCCCUCAAUUGGUAUCAGAGCAUUGGUUUCCAUUGCUUUGGUUUACACACCAUUGGAGGAAGAUGGACGUGUCUACGUUUGGGAGUGUUAGCCAUAGAGUGCCUAUUCUUAAUGGAGUGUCCUAUAACUCGUGGAGGAUUGAAAUGCUUAUUAUCUUUAAGACAUACAAUUUGCGCAAAUAUGUUGAGACCCCCUAUGUGCCUCAAUUUGACCCCUUGCACCCUACCAUGGAUGAAGAGCUUGAUUUGCUUCGUAACCUUAGGACUGUAAAUCUUAUCAUUAGAGGGUUACCCGAUAACUUGCUUAAGCUCGUUACAAACUUUGAGUGCGCCUAUGCUAUGUGGAAGUUCUUGGAAGAACUUUAUCCGGACUACUCUUUGAGAGGUCUUGAUGAAAUUCUAUACAAGACUAUUGAAUUUGAUAUAAUGCGCCCCAAUGAUCCCAACUUUGAUAAAUGCUUCUUUGAGCUUUGUGAUCUUAUGAAAAAGAAGGGUGAUCCCGGUCUUAUCAAUGUUCUAAUUAGAAAUGCUCUUGUAUUGCAUUCCGAUGAUUAUUGUCACAUUGACAAAACUAAUGCAAGUAGUUAUCAAAUUGACCUAGGUGUUGAUGAUGAACAAUCUAUGGGUCAAUAUGAUGAUGAGCAUGAGCAUGAUGAUGAUUACUCCGAUUCGGACACCGAGCUAGACAAGAUCAUGAAGAGUCUCAAUCUUAUGGCAAAUCUGAGAGACUACAUAUCCGGCGGAAAAGAGUGGAUUCUUGAUAGUGGAUGCACCGACCACAUGACCGGAGACAAAGACAUGUUUCGAGAGCUUGCAAAGAACGAUGGUCCACGCAAGUAUGUGACUUUUGGAGACAACUCCAAGGGUAAGGUACUUGGCCUUGGUAAGGUGGCCAUAUCUCAUGAUAGCUCUAUUCAAAAUGUCAUGCUUGUAGAAUCUCUUGGAUACAAUUUACUUUCCGUGUCUAGAUUAGCUGACUUUGGAUUCAACGUGCUAUUCACCGAAGUAGAUUGCCAAGUCUUUUGUCGUGACAAUCAUAACAUGGCGUUUACCGGUAUCCGUAGAGGUGAUCUAUAUAUUGUUGAUUUCACUAAGAAAGCCCAACCUAGAGCUUGCUUCAUUGCUAAAUCCGCUAAAGGUUGGUUAUGGCAUAGAAGGCUUGGACAUGUUGGUAUGCGUAAUCUAGACAAGCUGAUCAAAGGUGAUCAUAUUCUUGGCGUUAAAGAUGUUUUUUUUGACAAAGAUAGACUUUGUAGUGCUUGUCAAGCAGGAAAACAAGUAGGUGGAAGUCAUCCCGUGAAGAACAUCAUGACCACAAGGAGACCGCUUGAGCUUAUUCAUAUGGAUCUCUUCGGUCCCAAUGCUUACAAAAGCCUUGGUGGUAACUCCUUUGGUCUAGUUAUAGUUGAUGAUUAUUCCAGAUUUACGUGGGUAUUUUUCCUUGAUGACAAAUCGCAGGUUCAGAGAAUCUUCAAAACCUUUGCCAGAAAGGCCCAAAAUCAAUUUGAGGUGAAGAUCAAGAAAGUUCGGAGUGACAAUGGAACGGAGUUCAAGAACGCCAAUGUAGACUCUUUUCUCGAUGAGGAAGGGAUUCUACAUGAGUUCUCGGCUACAUACACUCCUCAACAAAAUGGAGUUGUUGAGAGGAAGAACCGAACGCUCAUAGAGAUGGCGAGAACAAUGCUUGAUGAAUACAAGACACCGAAGCAUUUUUGGGGUGAAGCGGUCGAGACAGCUUGUCAUGCUAUCAACAGGCUUUAUCUUCAUAAGCUCCUCGGCAAGACAUCAUACGAGCUCCUCACCGGUAACAAACCCCAAGUGGGAUACUUUCGUGUCUUUGGUUCGAAAUGCUAUAUCCUUGAUAAGCAUCGUCGGUCUAAAUUUGCUCCUAAAACUCAUGAAGGCUUUUUUCUUGGUUAUGGAUCAAACUCCCACACCUACCGUGUCUACAAUAAUUUCACCCGAAAGGUUGAAGAGACGGUAGACGUGAAGUUUGAUGAAUCUAAUGGCUCGCAAGUAGAGCAAAUGCCUAUUGAUGUAGGAGACAAGGACCCAUCGGAAGCUAUCCAAGAUUUAUCUAUUGGAAAGAUCCGUCCCAUGGAAGUGAAGGAGAGUACCUCAUCUACAUAUGUGGAGCCCCCUACCUCACAGCGAAAUGAACCUCAAGGCAACAUGGAGGCUUCCACAAGUGGAACUCACCAAGAUGAGGAAGUGCAACAAGAAGAUCCACCACAACCUCCUUCUCCACCGCCUCAAGACAACACCAACAACAAUGAAGAAGAAGAAGAGGAAGAUGAAGAUGAUGAGGAAGCUCAGCCACAACCUCAACAAAAGCUAUCCCGAGUUCGAGCAAGAGUCAAGAAAAAUCAUCCCGUGGAACAAAUGAUGAACGAUAUCAACUCCGGGAGAAUUACUCGCUCUAAAACUCGCUUAGCUAACUUUUGUGAGCAUUACUCAUUUAUCUAUAGUAUUGAACCUAUGAAGGUAGAAGAAGCACUUGAAGACCCGGAUUGGGUGAACGCUAUGCACGAAGAAUUACACAACUUUGAGAGGAACAAGGUAUGGACUUUGGUAGAGAAGCCCAAGGAUGAUCAAAACGUCAUUGGAACCAAAUGGGUGUUUCGAAACAAGCAAGAUGAAGAUGGACAAGUCAUCCGCAACAAGGCUCGUCUCGUAGCUCAAGGUUACACACAAGUUGAAGGUAUGGACUAUGGUGAGACCUAUGCCCCCGUUGCUAGACUUGAGUCCAUUCACAUUCUUCUUGCUUAUGCCAAUCACCAUGAUAUUACUCUCUAUCAAAUGGAUAUCAAAAGUGCUUUCCUAAAUGGUGAAAUUGAGGAGGAAGUAUUUGUGAAACAACCUCCCAGAUUUGUGAAUCCCAAAAAGCCUAAUCAUGUUUACAAGUUGCACAAAGCUCUUUAUGGUCUUAAACAAGCUCCUAGAGCUUGGUACAAAUGCUUGACUAGCUUUCUUCUUGAAAAAGGCUUUGAGAUUGGAAAGAUAGACUCAAUGCUGUUCACGAAAAGGGUUGAUGGUGAACUAUUUGUGUGCCAAAUAUAUGUUGAUGAUAUUAUCUUUGGUUCAACUAACCCUCAUUUUAGCGAGAAGUUUGGAAAGCUCAUGUCGGAGAAGUAUGAGAUGUCCAUGAUGAGUGAACUCAAAUUCUUCCUUGGGUUGCAAAUCAAGCAAUCUAAGGAGGGUACCUUUGUCUCACAAACAAAGUACACCAAGGAUCUCUUCAAGAAGUUCAACAUGCAAGAAAGCAAAGGUAUGAGAACCCCCAUGCCUACAAGUGAACAUAAUGACUUGACAAAAGAUGGAGAACCCGUUGAUCAAAAGGUUUACCGAUCUAUGAUUGGUUCUCUACUAUAUCUUUGUGCUUCUCGUCCUGACAUAAUGUUGAGUGUAUGCAUGUGUGCUCGAUAUCAAGCAGCCCCUAAAGAAUGUCAUCUUAAAGCUGUUAAAAGGAUUGUGAGAUAUUUGAUACACACACCAAACUUUGGCAUUUGGUAUCCUAAGAGGGCCUCUUUCGACCUUAUUGGCUAUUCCGACUCGGACUGUGCUGGUGACAGGGUUGAUAGAAAGUCAACUUCGGGUACGUGUCAAUUCCUUGGUCGAUCCCUUGUAUCUUGGUCCUCCAAGAAACAAAAUUCGGUAUCAUUAUCCACUGCCGAAGCGGAAUAUAUUGCUGCUGGUUCGUGUUGUGCUCAAUUGCUAUGGAUGACACAAACGCUUAAGGAUUAUGGGAUACAUGUGAGACAUGUUCCCUUGCUUUGUGAUAAUGAGAGUGCGAUUAAAAUUGGACACAAUCCCGUGCAACACUCUCGAACGAAACAUAUUGAAGUUCGUCACCAUUUCAUUCGUGAUCACAUUGCCAAGGGUGACAUCAAUCUUAAGCAUGUUCGUACUGACAAACAACUCGCUGAUAUCUUUACAAAACCUCUUGAUGAGAAGGUGUUUUGUCGCUUAAGGAGUGAGUUGAACAUCAUUGAUGCCUCAAACUUGGAGUGAGAACUCCAUUGAUGCAUGCAAGGCAUGAGCCUACUUGACUAAUCCUUGAUAUUUCUCUUAUGAUGGUAAUCAUAUGUCUUGGACACAUUUGCCUCCUUGUAUUGCAUCUAACUCCUUGCAGGUACUUGGAUGAUCUACAUUCCACAAGACUACCACACACUCAAAUCAUGAGUAAUCUUGUCAUUGACCAAGUAUCUAGCCCUUUGGGAUGUUGAGUUCAAGGAACAAAAUUCCACAUAUCCUUUUUGACAUCUUAUACAUCUAGUAUUUCGCUCUUGUCAUCUUGGAUAUCCUUGAGUAUUUCCUUGCUUGCCUAACCCAUGUAGGAAGAUGAACUACACAAGUGGAAAUGGCGCUCCAACUUCACAUUCAAUGAGCACCUACAUCAAGUUUACCUACAUGAACAAAGCAACAACAAGCCCAAGGUAUGUUCUUCACAUCUUUAAGGAGCUUUGCUCAAAGUCAUGAGUACACGCAGCUUCAUAAGAUGUGAUCACAUCAAAUGCUUAAUCGAAAAAUGGCAACCCCAUUUUGAGCUUAAACGAUGAGUAUGACCCAUGAUCAAAUGUUCUCAUUUGACUCCUAAGUCAAUAUACUCACACAUAGGUGACCUUGUCGCCGACCCUUAUCUAGAUGAAGUACAUAUGUUUUGGAGUCUUUCUAUUUUCUCUUAUGUUCUCUCAUUGAGUUUUUUUUUUAAAAAAACUUCAUCUAGGAAUCUUUUUCAUUUCUUUUUUUUGGUCUUUGUGAAUAUCCUUCUGGCUCUGAUCAAUUCCUCGAAAAUCAUUCACAAAUUCAUUGCAAACCCUUUGAAACAUUCCUCGCAAAUUGAGCUGAAUUAUUUCUGUAUUUCCUUGGAAUUAAACUCGGCGUCACCGAUUUAAAUAUUUCGGUCUAACCGAAAAGGAUCUACCCUAAGUCCCUGACUUUCGGACCCACCGAUCCAUCUUAAUUCGGUGUCACCGAUUUAUUUCUUUCAGGAUAUCAUCUUCUGCAGCUCCACUCAAUGAUUCUCUAUGCAUGUUCCUUUUUGCCCUAUUGUGAUUCUUAAGGAUCCCACUUCUUUCUUUCCAUCUUCCCUAACCUUCCUAGUUUGCUGUCCUUUUCGGCACUUGAUGUCAAAGGGGGAGAAGACUUAGGGGAGAAGAGAAGAUUUAGGGGGAGAAGAAGAGCAAUCUUACCUUAAGGGGGAGAGAAUCACAUCAAAGCUUUGCCGUGUUUUUCCUUAUAAGAGAAUUUCUUGCCGUGUUUCACAUUGGACAUUACAAUUGGCGUCAUUCUCAUUUGGCAUCAUUCUUUUGAUUUUGCUCUUUCCAUCAAACCCCUUGAUCGUAGAGAACUCAAAGGGAGAGGAAUCUUCACAAUUGAUAUCUUAUGGAAAGCAAAAUCUCUCAGAGUUCAUUGAAAAUCUUUUAGUUUCAGAGACAUGUUUGCUGAUUCAAGCUUGUGCUCAAUAUGAGACACUCUUUAUACAUGUCAUCCCUGGCUUGGUACUCUUGAUGUUCUUGCAGUUGGUUGAAGAAAUACUCUUGUGUUAUCUAACCUUGUUUUCCCAAGUUUAUCUCUUCAGGUACAAUGCCAAGGAACCUCAAGGUAAGUAUAUGCACUUUGCAGAAUGUGCAUGAUGGUGACUUGCUUGUGAAUACUUGUUUGCAAGAAAUCACCAUGCACAUAUGCAUUAUCACUCACUUCUUUUCAUCUGCUCUGAUGCAUGUAGCCAAGCUGCAUGUAGCACAUCUUGCUUUUCUCUCUUGUGUGCUUGUGGUAGUCCAAAACCGUAAUUUAUGAAAAUCUUGCACACUUGUAGGGGGAGCCUGUGUACUACAUGCUUGUCAAAGCUUUCGUGAUAAUUCUGUCUUUCUUUCAAUAAGCUUUGAUGUCUUGUUUAGUGUGUUGCCAUCAAUUACCAAAAAGGGGGAGAUUGAAAGCACAUUUGCUCCUCGGGUGGUUUUGGUAAUUAAUGACAACAUACUUUGUGGUUGGACUAAUGCUUUUAUCAAGUAUGUUUCAGGAAAUUCAAUCACAUUGGCAUGGCAAAAGGACUAAAGAGGUGGACCCCUCAAAAUGCUAAGGCAAGCAUUGGCAAAAGCUCAAGACUCCAUUUUUGGUUUAGUGAUCCUAGAUCACAUUGAGUCCAUAGGAAAAGCCAAUACUAUUAAAAGGGGAUGAGGUUAUGAUGAUGAUCUGGUUGCUCAAGUGCUUAGUGAUACAUCUCCUAAACUAUCAGCAACUUUCACUGCCAUAUACACUCAUAAGUAGUCUCGGUCCCACCGAUAUUCCAAACUCAGUCACACCGAGAUGAACCACCUCAGCCAUAAGCCAAACCCUAGAAAACUCGGAUUUUCCGAUUCUGAACUCGGUCUCACCGAAACAUGAGUUGCCAAGCUUCUGUAACCUUCUAUCAUCAAAUCGGUGUCACCGAGAUGAUGAAGUCGGUCCCACCGAAACUGGCAUGCUCUUGUCAUUGCACGAAUCGGACUAACCGAGAUUGUAUUUUCGGUCCCACCGAAAAUCCCAACGUUCACAUUAUUUGAACUAUCAGUCUCACCGAGUUGUCCACUUCGGUCCCACCGAGAUUGCUCAAAUGUGUGUAACGGUUGGAUUUUGUGUGGAGGCUAUUUAUACCCCUCCACCCCCUCUUCAUUCGUGGAGAGAGCCAUCAGAAAGAACUACCACUCCUACCUUACAUUUCUGAGAAGAGAACUACCUACCCUUGUGUUGAGAUCAAGUUGCUCCACUCCCACCAUAUGAAGCUUGAUCUCUAGCCUUCCCAAGUUGCUUUCCACUCAAUCCUUUCUUCCACCACAGCCAAAUCAGUGAGGAGAGUUGAGUGUUGGGGAGAUUAUCAUUUGAAGCACAAGAGCAAGGAGUUCGUCAUCAUCUACAACAUCUAUUACCUUUUGGAGGGUGGUGCCUCCUAGAUUGGUUAGGUGUCGCUUGGGAGCCUCCGUCAUCGAGAUGUGGAGUUGAACCAAGAAGUUUGUAAGGGCAAGGAGAUCGCCUACUUCGUGAAGAUCUACCCCGAGUAAGGCUAGCCCUCCGUGGGCGUAGGCCAUGAUGGAAUAGACAAGGUUGCUUCUUCGUGGACCCUUCGUGGGUGGAGCCCUCCGUGGACUCGCGCAGCCGUUACCCUCCGUGGGUUGAAGUCUCCAUCAACGUGGAAGUACGAUAGCACCACCUAUCGGAACCACGAGAAAAAUCACCGCGUCUCCAAAUUGCGUUUGAUCUUCUCCACUUCUCUUUACUACUUGUGCAAUUUACUUUCCGCUGCCCAUACUCUAGAAUUGCAUGUGUAGUGUGCUACUUGACUUGUAUGUUAUGCAAAAUCUGCCAAAAUCUGUCCUUGAUAAAAGACAGAAUUUUUAUCUUGUCGAGUAGUCUAAUCACCCCCCCCUCUAGACACUCUCACCUUCUUCGAUCCCUCAA